AGGCGGUUGGCGCAGUGGGAGCGCACUUGCCUGACACGGAAGGGGGCACAAGUUCGAAUCUUGUAUCGCCCA
rnacentral:tRNA from 1 species